UACGUAGGGCGCAAGCGUUGUCCGGAAUUAUUGGGCGUAAAGAGCUCGUAGGCGGUUUGUCGCGUCUGCUGUGAAAACCUAAGGCUCAACCUUGGGCUUGCAGUGGGUACGGGGCAGACUAGAGUGCGGUAGGGGGUGACUGGAAUUCCUGGUGUAGCGGUGGAAUGCGCAGAUAUCAGGAGGAACACCGAUGGCGAAGGCAGGUCACUGGGCCGCAACUG
rnacentral:rRNA from 1 species